rnacentral:rRNA from 1 species
AGGUUGGCUUAGAAGCAGCCAUCCUUUAAAGAAAGCGUAAUAGCUCACUAGUCGAAUCGGCCUGCGCGGAAGAUAUAACGGGGCUCAAACUAUACACCGAAGCUACGGACGCAUGCUUGCAUGCGUGGUAGAGGAGCGUUCUGUAGGCCGUUGAAGGGAAAGCUGAGAGGCAUCCUGGAGGUAUCAGAAGUGCGAAUGCUGACAUGAGUAACGAUAAGGGGAGUGAAAAGCUCCCCCGCCGGAAGACCAAGGUUUCCUAUCCAAUGCUAAUCAGGGUAGGGUGAGUCGGCCCCUAAGGCGAGGCUGAAGAGCGUAGUCGAUGGGAAGCAGGUUAAUAUUCCUGCACCACUCAAUAUUGCGAAGGAGGGACGGAGAAGGCUAGUCCAGCGCGGCGUUGGUUGUCCGCGUUUAAGCGUGUAGGCUUAAAUCUUAGGUAAAUCCGGGAUUUUUUAAGGCUGAGGCGUGAUGACGAGGUCCAUUAGGACUGAAGUGGUUGAUGCCAUGCUUCCAGGAAAAGCUUCUAAGCAUCAGAUAUUGAGUGACCGUACCCCAAACCGACACAGGUGGUCAGGUAGAGAAUACCAAGGCGCUUGAGAGAACUCGGGUGAAGGAACUAGGCAAAAUGGUACCGUAACUUCGGGAGAAGGUACGCCGCUGAUGGUGAUGGGACUUGCUCCCUAAGCUGUUGGCGGCCGAAGAUACCAGGUGGCUGCGACUGUUUAUUAAAAACACAGCACUGUGCAAACACGAAAGUGGACGUAUACGGUGUGACGCCUGCCCGGUGCCGGAAGGUUAAUUGAUGGGGUUAGCUUCGGCGAAGCUCUUGAUCGAAGCCCCGGUAAACGGCGGCCGUAACUAUAACGGUCCUAAGGUAGCGAAAUUCCUUGUCGGGUAAGUUCCGACCUGCACGAAUGGCGUAACGACGGCCACACUGUCUCCACCCGAGACUCAGUGAAAUUGAAAUCGCUGUUAAGAUGCAGUGUAUCCGCGGCUAGACGGAAAGACCCCGUGAACCUUUACUAUAGCUUCACAGUGAACUUUGAGCAUGUUUGUGUAGGAUAGCUGGGAGGCUUUGAAACCAGGACGCCAGUUCUGGUGGAGCCAACCUUGAAAUACCAGCCUGACCUGUUUGAGGUUCUAACUUGGUCCCCUGAUCGGGGAUGAGGACACUGUGUGGUGGGUAGUUUGACUGGGGCGGUCUCCUCCCAAAGCGUAACGGAGGAGCACAAAGGUGGGCUAAGCACGGUCGGACAUCGUGCGGUUAGUGUAAUGGCACAAGCCCGCUUAACUGCGAGACAGACACGUCGAGCAGGUACGAAAGUAGGUCAUAGUGAUCCGGUGGUUCUGUAUGGAAGGGC